rnacentral:sRNA from 1 species
GACGAUGCAGAGGGCUGUAAGUGUGGUGGCCCAUCUGGGCUCUCGCCUGCAGGCAUUCUCCCCGGCCUUGUGUCGUCCAUUUAGUUGCGCACAGGAGGUGCUCCGCCGGACACCGCUGUAUGACUUCCACCUGGCCCACGGCGGGAAAAUGGUGGCGUUUGCGGGUUGGAGUCUGCCAGUGCAGUACCGGGACAGUCACACUGACUCGCACCUGCACACACGCCAGCACUGCUCGCUCUUUGACGUGUCUCAUAUGCUGCAGACCAAGAUACUUGGUAGUGACCGGGUGAAGCUGAUGGAGAGUCUAGUGGUUGGAGACAUUGCAGAGCUAAGACCAAACCAGGGGACACUGUCGCUGUUUACCAACGAGGCUGGAGGCAUCUUAGAUGACUUGAUUGUAACCAGUACUUCUGAGGGCCACCUGUAUGUGGUGUCCAACGCUGGCUGCUGGGAGAAAGAUUUGGCCCUCAUGCAGGACAAGGUCAGGGAGCUUCAGAACCAGGGCAGAGAUGUGGGCCUGGAGGUGUUGGAUAAUGCCCUGCUAGCUCUGCAAGGCCCCACUGCAGCCCAGGUACUACAGGCCGGCGUGGCAGAUGACCUGAGGAAACUGCCCUUCAUGACCAGUGCUGUGAUGGAGGUGUUUGGCGUGUCUGGCUGCCGUGUGACCCGCUGUGGCUACACAGGAGAGGAUGGUGUGGAGGUGUGUCAAGAAGUGGUGUAGGGGGCAGUACAGGGCACAAGAUGCAUGUGAGGGGUUGGGGGUAUGUGGUACAGGGAGCUUCCCAUCUGCCCUCUGGUGUUUCAUACAGAUCUCGGUGCCGGUAGCGGGGGCAGUUCACCUGGCAACAGCUCUUCUGAAAAACCCAGAGGUGAAGCUGGCAGGGCUGGCAGCCAGGGACAGCCUGCGCCUGGAGGCAGGCCUCUGCCUGUACGGGAAUGACAUUGAUGAACACACUACACCUGUGGAGGGCAGCCUCAGUUGGACACUGGGGAAGCGCCGCCGAGCUGCUAUGGACUUCCCUGGAGCCAAAGUCAUUGUUCCCCAGCUGAAGGGCAAGGUGCAGCGGAGGCGUGUGGGGUUGAUGUGUGAGGGGGCCCCCAUGCGGGCACACAGUCCCAUCCUGAACAUGGAGGGUACCAAGAUUGGUACUGUGACUAGUGGCUGCCCCUCGCCCUCUCUGAAGAAGAAUGUGGCGAUGGGUUAUGUGCCCUGCGAGUACAGUCGUCCAGGGACAAUGCUGCUGGUAGAGGACCCUGCUUCUGAGUGACGGACCAGCUCACACAAUGUCUUGUUUCAGUCCAUGAUCCCACUGACCUACUCUUGCCUGCUGGAGGGUAAUGAGAAGCUUUGGUUCUGCCAUCUCUCCCACUCUGCCAGGUGCUGGCUGUGGAGCAAAGGCUCACCUUUGUGGGGAGGAUAAAACCUGCCCAACCUACCUCACCAUGGUUUUUCACAUUGCAAACGGUAAUAACAUGGGCAGUGUGGACUUAGGCUACCCCCUCCAGUUUGCUUUCCGUAAAUGCAAAUUGUCCCUACUGCAAGUCAGGAAUGAUUGCCGACUCACAGUAGGGCUGCUAUGCCUGUGUGUAAACUUGGGGAUGGCUGAGGGAACA